UAGGGAAUCUUCCGCAAUGGACGCAAGUCUGACGGAGCAACGCCGCGUGAGUGAAGAAGGAUUUCGGUUCGUAAAACUCUGUUGUUAGAGAAGAACAGCGCAUAGAGUAACUGUUAUGCGUGUGACGGUAUCUAACCAGAAAGCCACGGCUAACUACGUGCCAGCAGCCGCGGUAAUACGUAGGUGGCAAGCGUUGUCCGGAUUUAUUGGGCGUAAAGCGAGCGCAGGCGGUCAAUUAAGUCUGAUGUGAAAGCCCCCGGCUCAACCGGGGAGGGUCAUUGGAAACUGGUUGACUUGAGUGCAGAAGAGGAGAGUGAAAUUCCAUGUGUAGCGGUGAAAUGCGUAGAUAUAUGGAGGAACACCAGUGGCGAAGGCGACUCUAUGGUCUGUAACUGACGCUGAGGCUCGAAAGCGUGGGUAGCAAACAGG
rnacentral:rRNA from 1 species